GAGCAGCACGCCGCGUGGAGGAUGACACUUUUCGGAGCGUAAACUCCUUUUGUUAGGGAAGAACAAUGACGGUACCUAACGAAUAAGCACCGGCUAACUCCGUGCCAGCAGCCGCGGUAAUACGGAGGGUGCAAGCGUUACUCGGAAUCACUGGGCGUAAAGGACGCGUAGGCGGAUUAUCAAGUCUCUUGUGAAAUCCUAUGGCUUAACCAUAGAACUGCUUGGGAAACUGGUAAUCUAGAGUGAGGGAGAGGCAGAUGGAAUUGGUGGUGUAGGGGUAAAAUCCGUAGAGAUCACCAGGAAUACCCAUUGCGAAGGCGAUCUGCUGGAACUCAACUGACGCUAAUGCGUGAAAGCGUGGGGAGCAAACA
rnacentral:rRNA from 1 species